GAUGAAGAACGUAGCAAAAUGCGAUACUUGGUGUGAAUUGCAGAAUCCCGUGAACCAUCGAGUUUUUGAACGCAAGUUGCGCCCGAAGCCUUUUGGCCGAGGGCACGUCUGCCUGGGCGUCACGCAUCGCGUCGCCCCCCACAAUUCUCGUAAGGGGAACUCGUGUUUUGGGGGCGGAUAUUGGUCUCCCGUGCUCACGGCGUGGUUGGCCGAAAUAGGAGUCCCUUCGAUGGACGCACGAACUAGUGGUGGUCGUAAAAACCCUCGUCUUUUGUUUCGUGCUGUUAGUCGCAAGGGAAACUCUAAGAAAACCCCAGCGUGUCGUCUUUUGACGGCGCUUCGACCGCGACCCCAGGUCAGGCGGGACUACCCGCUGAGUUUAAGCAUAUCAAUAAGCGGAGGA
rnacentral:misc_RNA from 1 species